rnacentral:rRNA from 1 species
AACCCCUGUGAACAUACCACUUGUUGCCUCGGCGGAUCAGCCCGCUCCCGGUAAAACGGGACGGCCCGCCAGAGGACCCCUAAACUCUGUUUCUAUAUGUAACUUCUGAGUAAAACCAUAAAUAAAUCAAAACUUUCAACAACGGAUCUCUUGGUUCUGGCAUCGAUGAAGAACGCACCAAAAUGCGAUAAGUAAUGUGAAUUGCAGAAUUCAGUGAAUCAUCGAAUCUUUGAACGCACAUUGCGCCCGCCAGUAUUCUGGCGGGCAUGCCUGUUCGAGCGUCAUUUCAACCCUCAAGCACAGCUUGGUGUUGGGACUCGCGUUAAUUCGCGUUCCCCAAAUUGAUUGGCGGUCACGUCGAGCUUCCAUAGCGUAGUAGUAAAACCCUCGUUACUGGUAAUCGUCGCGGCCACGCCGUUAAACCCCAACUUCUGAAUGUUGACCUCGGAUCAGGUAGGAAUACCCGCUGAACUUAAGCAUAUCAAUAAGCGGAGGAACCAG